UUUAUUAAAGAUAGGUUUACAAAUUCAACAAAAAAAACCAGGAAUAUUUAAAAUGUUCAAUGGAAGAAAAAAGUACUUUCUCAAAGUCCACUGACAGCCUUCUUAUAAAUAUCUUAUAAAAUAUAAACUUCAUCAGAACUGCUGUCAUAUGAAAUAGCAUUAGCCACUGAGUCUCACGUCUAAAAGAAAACUGAAGCAGAUGUCACAAUUGAUCCCUCUGUCACCUCAACUGUUUUGGCUAUAGCAAUUUGAAAACUAAUUAUCUUCAAUCUGAGAGAAAACAACACCUCUCACUGUUAAAAAUUGUGUGCCAGAACAAAUGCUUUUAAUAUAUGUUUCUAAAAUAGCUGGUGAAGUUGCUAGUAAACACCUUCCUAAAUGCCUUACAUAUGAAACAAGAAAAGCCUAAGAAGAAACUGAUCCGGAAAUGGAGUUUUUUGAUGAAGCUUUUCCCUCUAAAGAAAAUAAUAAGUAGUUUUAUAUUCAUUCUUUUGGGUUAAAAUAUUUAGUUUGGGUUUUUUCCAGUAGGGUCACAUGGGUUUUCAUCCUCUCUUUCUAAUUGGAAGAGUUUGUAUUUCUUACAUAUACAACACAGAAGGUGGUAAAAGCAGGCACUUGGUGGGGAUGACAAAACGAAUGUGUGAUUGUGAAUAUUUUUUUUAAAGGAUAAAAUUAAGAAAAGCAAGGCUAAUUUGCAAAGUGGGUAAUCAAGGGUUAAUCUACCAAGUUAAUUAAGCAGCAUCAGAAAUAAUCUCUCUCUUCCAGUUCAAAGAAGUACAGGAAGAUAAGAGAUAAUAACAAGAGUCCUUAUGGGCUAGCACUGUUCUAAGUACUUUAUUGGUAUUACUUUACUUCAUCUUCCCCUAAUUCCUAGAAGGUAGUCUUUUACUUACAGAUCAGGAAACUGAGGCACAGAUGGUUAAGCAACCUGCCUAAAUGCAGAGAGUGACAGAAGCGAUGAGGCCCAGGACUCAAAUGCAGGCAGGCAGAUUCCAAGCCAGCUCUGCUAAGAGCUCUCCUCUCUCUCAACCAUCUGGUCAAGACCUCUAAUUUCAGAGUGCUCUAGAGAAGGGAAAUGAAUGGUUCAACUAAAAAGCCUACACACUCUAGAUUCAAAUACCUUUUCAAAACACAACUAAAUUAACAAAGAAAAACACAUCAACUGUCUUAAAAACAGAAAAGAAAAAAGCUGAUCAUUCUGAGCAAACCUCAUGCUGAUUGGAAAGGCAUGGAAUAUUCAUUUUCUAUCACUAGUGCACAAACACAGAUAACACAGCUGGUCACACAGCAACUGAUAAUCUCAUCCUUUUUAUAACUGUACUCAAUGAAACAUGUUAAGACAACAGAAAAUACCCCCCAAAACAAACAAAAAACAAACAUUAAGCAGAUUUUGAGAUUUAUUAAAAUAAAGUAUUAGCAAACGAUAUGCAAAAACAAAGUUCUUAAGAGUUAUGCUUUGAAAAGCACAAUAUAGUAAAACCUAAUACAUUUUCAUAAGUAUCAAAAAGAUAACAGAAUUGAAGCAUGUUGCUAGAAUUUCAUUGUCUACAACAUAAACAGAAGCAGAACAAGUAUAAGUAAGAAGCGGACCUACAGUGCAGCCAUUGUUUGGUCUUUAUCAUCUGCAUAUGACAUAGCUUUUUACAAGAACAUGGGCAGUUACAUACAAAUACCCAGUUUUCAUGAUUAUAGUUUUACCCAAUUUUAAUAAAAUGCAACUUUAACCAACCAGGUUAAGGAGAAACCAACCAUUUUCUUCAAGAGUUCCUACAAUUAAAAUACUCUAUGAAUAAAUCAAAGCAACAUCAUCUCCAAUAGUACUAGGAAGGGAAUAUCAGACUCUAAAAGAUGUAUUCUUUACUUGGGAUUGUCUGGUCUCAUUGGGCUUUUGUUAUAGCUAAGAAGGCACUAUCUAUCAAUGGGGUAAAACAAGAGCUACCUCUACAUAAAAUUUUGAACUUUUUAAAAGCAAUCUCUUCAAAUAAAUCCUUAUGAUUUUAAGAAUUUUAAGAACUGAAUUAUCUGAAAGACAACCACACACACCUUUUUCUCUCUGUCAUAAACAGUAGAAGUAGCCUGUUCCGAGACUCAAUCUUUUCAAUAAAACAACUCAUCACUUGUUACAGCAAUUGCUACCAGCAAAUAUUACAGAAUAUGCUCCUAUUUUUAAAAAACAUUGAUAGGUAAAAUCCAUCUUAUUGGUUUUUGUAAAUCAUCCAAUUUUAGGGUAACAUUUCAAUUAUAAUAACUGCAUUGUAGAAGAUGAGUUUCUACUAUGAAAAAUCCAGUCUUACAAAGGCUUGACAAAUACCAUUACCUCUUGUAAUUAGGACAGGCUAAACCGCAAACCAGUGAAUUACAAAGAACUGUCCAAGUUUCUGUUCAGCAGGUAUGAUUCUUUAGAAGAAAUGCCUCAAAUUCUCUCUCCAUGCAUGCAUCUUCUGUAAGAAGAAAACCUCCCCAGAUUUCCACCUGUAUUAAUCAAGAAAAUGUUCCUGCUUCGGGGGAAACAGGCAUCAAACCUGAGAUUACGACCCCAAAAGCCGUGCUACUGAAUACCUGAAGAGAUGCCCAUAAACUUCUGCCAAGGAGAAUCACCAAACCCUUCUAAAAUCACCAGGCUAUCUACAACCUUAAAGAAUUCUUGCUUAUGGAGCUGACGGACACAGACUUAGAUUCCUACCUGAGAGAUUAGGUGAGGAUGUAACUAAGAGCACAAAGAAGAGCCCCGAGCCUCCUCAAAGUUAACAGGUCCAAGAUCUCAAUCGUCACUGGAAGUGGAAUUUAAGAUUUAUCUAAAGACUCCUCCUCAGAGAGUAUAAAAAGCUACUUACAUAUUUUAGUGGGACACGAUAAUGAUCCAAAGUACUGUUUAGCAGGCAACUAGGAAACGUGUAAAGAGAUGGCUCUAAACUGGUGUACUAGAUGCUCUCUGUAACAGAAGGACAGCUCUGACACGGGCACCGCCAAACUUUAGAGUUUCUCCGCUACAGGCCUGAUUUCAUUUUUGUAUAAACUUUCUCCUUCAAAAGAACUCUAUUACAGGGGAACCGUCUCCCACAGGUACUGGAAGGUCAUACCGAAGGUUUUAUAAUGUGAGCCCCAGUCCUUAUCUUGACAAUAGAUUUCAGAUCUGAAUUCCUGCUGAUCAUUUACAUCCUAGACGAAUGUCUUACUCUCAAAUGUUAUGAAAAGUAUAAAACAGCUACACCCUCUUUCUGUACUAUUUGGUUUAGCUUGUUGAACUACCUAGUAAUAUUACUGUGGAUUUCACCUCAGAAACCCAGCCAACUCUAUUAUUAUAGUUUAUUUAUAUAACAAGAAAACGUAAAAAAGGGUUUAUACUCUGAUGUAUAUAUGUGUCAUUUAGACUGAUACCUUCCUUAAAUUUUCUCUAUAAAGAAAAAGAGUUCACUUCAGCAGACCAAUAACAUGUCUACUAGUUUCUAUUCCAUAACCUAAGACAGGUAAUUAGGAAGAGAUGUUAGUCAAAUGCACCUUUUAAAUCUUUUCCAGUCAAUAUCUUUUUGUUGCUUUAAUGAAUUACUGAGAUUAAUUUUGAUACUAUUUCUCUUUUUGCAUUUAUCAAACUAGUUAUAAUUUUAUUAUUCCCAGACUCUCUUUUCAGCUGGCAUAUAUUUAUUUAUAUGUUGUACAUGCUAUAAAAUGUGAUUUUUCUGGUAGUGUUGAUGUUUUCAUAAAUUCGACUAUAAACCAUCCUGAGGAUUACGUAAAAACUUUGAACUGUAACUUUCUGAAAUGGUUUCUCUCAGGCACCUUUUACACUGGUAGAAUUUUACUUAGUUUUUUAAAUCUCACUGGCAAUUUUUAUUUCCCAUCCAUUCCUACAUUGAGAAACCACAGGAAUUAUAGAAUCAGCUGGACUGAAGGAAGAUAGUUCAGUUUUGGAAAUAAAACAGCCUUAUAGUUCUCACGAAACUCUUCACAGUUAAAAACUUGAGUACUAUCCUUCAUAAGCCACACCUCCGUAGAGAAAAUACAGAAAAAGCCAAUCACAUAAAAUCCCAUUAACUCUAAAGGCUGUUACAUGAAUAAAAAAUGAUUUUUAAUUGACUCCAAAGAAAGUAUCAAUAAAACAAUUCAACAGUUUCCACCAGCUCAAGCCCACCGAAGUUGAUUACAUGUAUCUGCCAUUCAACCUGGGUGGUUUUUCUACAAACGUGUUCCAAAGAUUGUGCCAUGAGCCUGGUAAGUAAAAGAAUGAUGGAACUAGCUAAGUUCUAUCACUAAGCAAAUAAUCCUCUUUUGUGUGGCUGAUACAUUUCUGGAAGACUGAGUAUGCAUGUCAUGCAAAACUUAGGUUUAAGGCUCAGGUGACUGUCAGAAAGUUUCCUUUUACUUAAGCAAAGGACUGUGAGCAUGAAACACAUAUGGCACUUCAUCUGAGAGAAAUGAAACCAUCCCCUGGCUGCACUUUAUAAAAGCAAUAAACAAUGUUAUGGAAAACAAAAGGAAUCACAUUCUCCUUUCCUCAAAAAAAAAAAAAAAAUGCAUUUUUCCCCCCCGCAUAAAAGCAGAAAAAGUAGAAAGUCAAACCAAACUAAGAGUUUAAACAGAAGACAGACAUGGCUCCACAUACUUUCAAAAGGCACCAGAAAAUAAGCUUCUUCUCUUAGGUAAAUUAGGUGAUUUUUCCCCCCAAAAUAAUGUCUUUCGUUCUUCAUGCCACAACUAAGGGUCCAUUUGGCUGCUCCACAGAAAAAGAGGUUAAGAGUCCUUUACUCAAAGGCCUUAAGUACAAGUGAUUAAAUGGAUAUUUUAGAGUUUUUCACAUCUUUCCUCUGAGGACUGCAGAGACUAGCAUCCACAUAGGUGCUGGGGGAAAAAAAAAAAA
rnacentral:lncRNA from 1 species